UGGCUACAACAGCUGGGGUUGGGCUAGGCUAAAGCCAGGAGCCAGGAGCUUCUUCUGGGUCUCCCACAUGGGUGCAGGGGCCCAAGCAGUUGAGCCAUCUUCCACUGCUUUUUCCAGGUGCAUUAGCAGGGAUCUGGAUCAGAAGUGGAGCAGCCAACACUGGAACUGGCACCCAUAUGGGAUGCCUGCAUUGUAGAUGGUGGCUUAAGCCAUUAUACCACAGCACUGGCCCUCAUUCAGUCUGUUUUAGAAAGUUAUUAUUUAUUUGAGCGGUAGAUAGAGAAUGGCAGAGAGAGAAAAAGGAGAGAGAGAGAGAGAGAGAGAGAGAGAGAGAGAGAUCUUCUACCCAGUGGUUCAUACCUCAAAUGUCUGCCAUGGUUGGGGUUGGGCAGACUGAAACCAGGAACUGGGAAUGCAGUCCAGCUCUCCCAUGAGGGUGAUAGAAACCCAGUGACUUGCACCAUCACCAUUGACCCCAUGGUUUGCAUUAGCAAGAAGCUGGAGUCAGGAACCCAAGCCAGGAUGUGAACCCAUGUGCUCUUAUCCCCUUAAGCUAAAUACCAGUUCCUGGUCUUUCAGUUUUUGAAUAAUCUGCUGUCAUACUUUUGGUGUUCAAUAUAUUGGUGUCUAUAUUUCUGAGGUAUAUUUUAAAAGCAUGCUUAUAAAUCAGAAAAAGCUCAAUUGCCAAGGGCAAAAUUUCUCACAGAUCAAUUUUUAUCUUCUUUGGUAUAAGAAAUUCCUGUAUUCUGAGCUCUGUAAAUCUUAGCUUCAGAUAAAACUGCAAAAAUUAUCAUUAUUGUAGUAGAUAAAAUGAAUCAAUUAAUCAUAAAGUAAGAAAACACUGAAGGGCAAAAACUGUUGGGGAAUUACCACAAAGCCGGGUGGUAUUGCGUAUCCAAGGUGCUGUGAUGGUAGCCAUGACCAUCUGGACUUCUUUAAACCUCAAGAAAGACUUUGAAAUUAGAGUUAUUCAUCAUGUGAUAUAACUAAUCCACUUUCACAUAUCCCUGAAGAAUGAUACUUUUGUAUAAACAUGAACCUUUUAUCACACAGACUAGGGGAACUUCCAAAUUUUUACAUGCAAGCUGUUUUUCCAGGAAAUAGGUUAAGUCUCCCUUUAAGCUAAUUCCUUUGAAAGGUUAUAAAGGGUUUACUAUUUUAAAAAAUUAUGACUAUCUCAGAUUAAAUACCUUAUUGUCUAGUUACAAGUCAGUGCAGAGUCAUAUUUUUUGUUUUGCUCUAAAUAUUAAUCUAUAGCUACCAAGUGAUUUUGCAAGAAGGCGUAUUUUUGCUGCUCAUUUUCUCAAAUGUAAAAAUGAAUCUCAGGAGCACCAUCAGCAGCUACUGUGUGUGCGUGGGAGACUUGUCCUAAAGUAGAGCUUCCCCAAAACUGAGCUCAUGAUAAUGUUGUUCCCCGGAUAUACUUGCUGUGUCUCCUGAAGAGAUUCUUAUCACUAUUGCAGUCACUAGCAUGACUAGUGUUAUUUUCAAGAGUCAGAGAGGAAGCACAUAGGUUUAGGGCCUGGGACUGUUGCAAGAACCUUUUUACCAUUUCCUGAUUGUGGGGUUGAUCUCCCUCUGUGUCUCAUUUUCCUUAUAGGUAAAGUAAGGGUAGCAUGGAGCCCACCUCGUGGUGUUGUUAUGGGGAAGAAAUGAGUUAACUUAUGCAUGUGCACCCCUUACAGUUCUCUCCACCACUUUGUAACCACUCUAUACGUGUCAUCUGUCAAUCACUGCUGAGAACCUGGCAACACUAGUAACCGCUAGUGCUAGACCGCUACCAACCGCCAGUUGGUAGACUGCUGUAGGGCUACAGACUCAUUUCAGCUUAAACUGAUAGAAACCUCGGGCAGCAGACGUUACUGUUGUAAUUGAUACUGAAGCCAUUUGUGGCUCUGCAUAUGAAAUGCAUUGCUGUUAACUUGCAGCAUUUUGUCAUGACUGCUUGCACAAUACUAGUGAGCUUCAAAAAGUUCAUGGAAAAAUGGACACCAAGUUGAUUUUGGUGCAAAAAAUUACGAAAUUCACACAUAAUUGUUUCAUAAUACGUGUUUUCCAUGGACUUUUUCCCCAAAGAUUUAUUUAUUUGAAAGUCAGAAUUACACAGAGAGAGGAGAGGCAGAGAGAGAGAGGUCUUCCAUCUGGUGGUUCACUCCCCAACUGGCUGCAAUAGCUGGAGCUGCACCAAUCGGAAGCCAGGAGCCAGGAGCUAGGAGCUAGGAGCCAGGAGCCUCUUCCGGGUUUCCCACAUGGGUGCAGGGGCCCAAGGACCUGGACCAUCUUCCACUGCUUUCCCAGGCCAUAGCAGAGAGCUGGAUUGGAAGUGGAGCAGCUGGGUAUCGGACCGGCGUCCAUAUGGGAUGCCGGUGCUUCAGGCCAGGGCGUUGACCCGCUGCCAGCCCCACCAUGGCCUUUUGGACCAGCCUUUUGCAGAGCUGAGUUGCCCAUUCUGGAGCAGUCCUUCCCAUUACUUAGGCUGCACAGAAGCAGCAUUCACCCGUUCUCUCCCCCCACCCCCCUCCCCGCCGCCUUUUAAGCUUUAUUUAUUUAUUUGAAGGAGUUAUAGAGAGGCAGAGGCAGACAGAGGGAGAGAGAGAAGAGAGCUUCCAACCACUGGUUCACUCCCCAAAAAGCCACAAUGGCCAGAGCGAGUGCAGGGGCCCAAGGACUUGGGCUGUCCUCCACUGCCUUCCCAGGUGCAUCAUUAGGGAGCUGGAUGGGAAGUGGAGCAGCUGGGACCUGAACCUGUGCUCAUAUGGGAUGCCUGGUGUUGCAGGUGGCAGUUUAGCCAGCUGUGCCACAAUGUGGGCCACAAGACUGUCACAUUUUGAAAAAUAUACAUACCUGCUUAUAUUAUAGACAUUAUAGACAAUAUAAUUAUAAUCAAAUUUUUCUGGUUUUAAUAAUUUCUAAGUCUUAUUUCUAGCAAUUCUCUUGAUGUGUAAAUGGUCUUUUCAAGACCAUAAUGUGCAGGGAUUAUCACUACAAACUAUUUAACUCUUUAGGUAGUCUUUUCUAAAUAAGUUGAAUAUAGAGAAAGUUUGAAGCCACCUGCAUAUCUUGUUUUUACUCAAAGUCUUUUUUUUUUUUCUUUUUUGGAAAGGAACCAUUGGGAAAAAUAGCAAUGCUUGCAAAAAAUCUAAAACAGGUGAAGUUACCAUUCAUUUAGUAUGGCUUAUAUCCCUAAGGCUGAAUUCAAUAAUGAAAGCAAUAGAAAUUGGUAGUGAAAGAAGCACAAGGCAUUAUUAUCAUAUACUAUGAGACAACUAAGAGAUACUGAGUGUUCAGAACAUUUAUACUGAAUGUGAGCCACAGAUGUUUGAUGUUCUUAUCAACUGCUCCUGUACCCACUACAAAGUGAGUGAACCUGGGCAGGCCUCAUGGAAUAAUCCGAUUUAUAGUCCACUUGCUGUGCUGCAUCAGCAGCCUCCACACAGAAAGGUAAAACUUUGAACGCCAGCUGACCACACUUACAUGCAGGGUGGCCAACUCAUGAGUUGGAGUUUUCCUGGUUUUAUUAAUAAAAAUCGCAGAUCCCAGGAACCUCUUCAGUCCUAGCCAAAAUUAGAAGGUUUGUUAUUUGAGAAAAAUGAUUGAGCCCAGCCCUGGAUAGCAGAAGAACCAUUGUCUGUGCUCAAAUUGCUUACCUACAAAAUCAUGAGCUAAUGAAUGGUUGUUGUUAUUUUAAUCCAUAGAGCUUUGGCAUAGUAAUGCAGUAGAAGCUAACUGAAUCAGACUUUUAUAGCUCUAUUCACUUCAGGUUUUUCACUUUGGAGAUGAGAGAGUUGAAAUCCAGGAAGAUAUAAUGACAUAACCAUGGUCACAUAUCUGAUAAGUAUUAAGUUUGACAAGACAAAUACAAAUCAAUAUUAAAAUCAAUAUCAAAAUUAAUAUCAAUAUCCAUGGAUGUGGAUAGCCUCCAAGGAAUAAUACUUGAAUAAUAGUAUAUAACAAUGUCCACAGCUAUUGAUCCAUUUGUGUAUAUCAAAAUGGAAGGUUAUAUUGUGCAAUAUACAAGAGCCAGGGUUUUGAAGACAGGCAGAGUGAGUUCAAAUCUGCUUGAUUGCUUCAGACCUUAGGCAAUUUACCUAGCCUAUUUGGUCAGGGAGAAAUAAUUUCUCUUGUUGUUUCACUUUCCUCAUUUGUGAAAUGGGUUAUUUGUACAUAUCUUAAAGGUUUGAUAAAGUGAGAAUUAAUUAAUUUUUAAAAGAUGUAUUUAUUUAUUUGAAAAGCAGAGUUACACAGAGCGAAAGAGACCCCAUCUCCUGGCUUUGGCCCAGUCCUGGCCAUUGUGGCCAUUUGGGGAGUGAACCAGAUAAAAAAUCUUUUGCUCUCUCUUCCUCUCUCUCUCUCUGUCUCUCUGUAACUCUGCUUUUCAAAUAAACAAAUAAAUGUUUUUUUUUUUUUUUAAUUUGACAGAUAGAGUUAUAGACAGUGAGAGAGAGACAGAGAGAAAGGUUCUUCCUUCCAUUGAUUCACUCCCCAAAUGGUUGCCAUGGCCAGGGCUGCACCAGUCUGAAGCCAGGAGCCAGGUGCAGGGGCCCAAGCACCUGACCCAUCUUCCACUGCCCUCCCCGGGCCACAGCAGAGAGCUGGACUGGAAGAGGAGCAACCAGGACUAGAACCCGGUGCCCAUAUGGGAUGCCGGCGCCGCAGGCGGAGGAUUAACCAAGUGAGCCAUGGCGCCGGUCCACAAAUAAAUAUUUUUUAAAUAUAAGAGAAGCAGAGAACCUAAUUUUAGUUAUUUUAUGACUUAUUUCCCCUAAUUUCUUUAUAAUAUCAUAAACAUUUAUAACUGCAAUUAUCAGGAAACUAUGUGGUUAAGUGAUUCCUUUUUUAAUAACCUCUUUUCUGUUGAUAGCUGGUUUGAAUAGAAGAAUCCAUUAUACAUAGACCUUAGUUAAAACUUUUUCAUUUUUGUUUGCAACUAUUGUAUUUUACUGUUCAUUAUUUAUAAUCAUUAUUUCAUUUCGUUAUGUGAGUUUCAGAUAAUUAUAAGGGAGUAUAGCUAAGGGCAUUCUAUAAGAAAAUAUUCAGCAUUAGUAAAAGCUAGUCCGAAAGUGCUUUGAAGGGUGAAAGGUAACUCAGAAAGCAAAAGACACUAAGCUGUUCUGCUUGAACUGACCGCACAAUGAAUGGCAAGCUGGUACAGUGCAGAAGCGGAAAUCCAUUCAGGUAACCAAAACAAAACAAACAAGACAAAAAAACAGACACCAGCUGUAACCCCCCCAGCCGCAGAUGGAAGAAAGAAACAUUACAGAAGAAGCAUCUUUACUUCUCCAUACUGUAGUUUUUGUGAAUGACCAUGGUAAUGUCUCUAGUAUGGGAGCACAUUAAGAAGAAAAGACAAGAUCGGCACCGUGACCACACCACAAGCCUCAGGAAAGGCAUUGUCAGUUUAUUGUUGAAGGCACAUUGUUUAACAUUUCACCGAGGAAAAUAUCCAUUGGUAUUUCAGGGGCACAGUUGCAUCUCCGAAGCUUCCUCUGCUUACAGUUGUCUCAUAAAUUCUAUGGUAAUCAACCCAAUCCUCAAUAAGGUGAUAUGUCUGUGGGUGUCUAAUUUAAGUAAUCAACAUGUAGAACCUUCAUAGAGGUUUUUUUAAAGUUAGAAAGAAAUUAUGCUCUCUGGAUUUGACAUUAGCAUGUUUUCAUAUUAGUGAGUAAAAUUGUGUUCAAGAAAAUUAUAAGUGAUUUCAUCUAAAUAAAUAAAAUUUUAAGAAGAUAAGUGGUUAAGGUUUACAGUACAAAUUAAGUUCCCUAUAACAUAAUUAAUAUUUUUUGUAUAUCAUUACCAAACAGAUUAAAACAAGCUCAUGAACAUUUGCAUUUGGAAGAGCAUCGCUUUAACCCCAUGUAUGCAGAAUGAAGUCUUUGGUGUGUUAGAGGUGCACCGUGUGUGCUUGUUCGGAGGAAAGCUCUGUUUCUCUACAGGCAGGUUUACAACACAGUGGCAGCAUCGCCGCCAGCUGCUCCAAGGUGUCCCACCAGGGAGCUUUCAUCUCUCCCUGGUGAGAUCAGACUAAGCUGGUAGUUGAAAUUCCAUUGCCCAUUCAGUCUCCUGAGGCUUCAAAGGAGGGAGCCAGUUCUGAUGGUGGGUGCUGGCUGAGUGACAGACUCAUGUCCACGAGUCGUCAUACUGAGUCUGCCUGCAGUUCACAUUAUAAACUCCAGUGGGUGACACUCAGGCAGGUGCACGUGGAUUGGGUUUCGACUGAGAACUGAUGAUAGUCUGUGAGUGAGAGCGUGUUCCUAGUCCCCCGAGUUUAUCAAAAGCCACCGAUUAUUUCUUUGGUGGUCUACCUUGUGCAGCAGCUAGCAUUCCUAUUUUGUUGUCUUUUUAAAGAGCAACAUCUUGUUAUUUGUAAAGAGGAAAAAAAAAUCUUGCGUGAUAUUUAAGAAGUUUAACAUAGAUGGCUAAGUGAUACCACGUUUCUUCUGUAGAUGUUUGAUCAGAUGAGUAAGUAAAAAUUCUCUCGUUUAUGUUUUAACAGUCUUACUUAUAAACGUAUUUAUGUGACUUAACUAGGUGAAAUAUAUGUUUAGAUAUGACUCUGCACACUUAGAGAUAGUUACCCAAGAGAAGGAAAAUUGUAAAUUUUGAGACAUAAGGAAAUUGCAGUUUAAUAAAGGAUAAUACAUGGCUGACUUUGUUAUCAUAAUGCUUCUUUGCUGUUGCUGAACAAACAACAUUUUAUGAAUUAGUACGUUUUACCUGGAGAUGUUGCAGACCACAGAGAAGCAUAAUUAAAUAUUAAAUAUUGAGUCAACAACUUUCCUUUUACAGGGAAUAGCCUAAGAAGAGGAUUUUGUUCUAUACUUUUCUAACAGUUUAUGUUAAAACUUUUUAAACUUCAAAUUGAUUUUAAGUGGGAAGAGAGAGAAGGUAGGAAGGAGAGAGAGAGAGAGAGAGAGAGAGUCAACAGUCUAAAUUGUACUAAAUAUAUACAUAUAUAUAAUUUUUACAUACUCUUACUAAUCAGUGAUCAAAAGGUUGAAUGACUUGUUUUAUUUUUGCACUUCAAGUAUGUAUAUGCAUUUUAUAUACUGAUGAUGCUUUUAAUCUUGUAAGAACCACAUCCAGCAAUGAAUCACAUUCUUUGAGUGAAUAAUUCAGUCCUUGACGCCAACCUCUGAGGGGGAAUAUUGUGGUCAUGCUGUCUGAACAGUGUGGUAGCUAUGGCUACCUAUAUAAUUCUUCGCAAUGAAAAAAAAAAGUGACAAUGACAUUAAAUUUAAUCAGGUUCCCCUUUCCUGUGGUUCCCACUGGGAUGAGCCACUAGUGUCUUGCCUUAAAUAUUCAAAGGCCUUCCUGAGUAGUUUGCAUGUGUUCAUAUAGUGGCACAGUGUCCUGCUACUACAGAACAAUGGAUCUGUCAUGUAAUUCUCCUGCAAGUGGAUGUGAGUCUAACAUGACUAAGUAUAGGGCUUAAGAGCUGUUUUUCCCCCAGUGACCAUCUUUACUUAAGUUUUAACAAACAGCAGUGAGGGAAUGUAUGCCGAUAUUGAAGUGUAAUAAACCCGAUUAUCAGAGUUGGGAACUCAGAUGUGGUAAAGAAUUGUGAUUGGGAAAUAAUAAUAAAGCUGCCUAGCAUUUUUAAUCACACUUUUUCUGAAACAAAGGGCACAGCCCAGAAUAUUGUGUGGCUGAAAACAUUUGAGAAACAUACUUAAAUGUUCAGGGACCAUCCUCUGUGUUUCUUCCUGUGUCCUUCUGCAGAAACUCAUGUGGGUAUCACCUGCUUUUAAGUCAUUGUGGAAAAAUUAUAAGAAAGAUUUUAUGUCCAUUGUGCAUACCUGCAGAGAAGCUAUUUUUUGGCAUUCACAGGAUGAAAAAAAAAGGAUGUUCCCUAUAUUUAUCUGUGAUAUGAUAUAUUUGUGCCAUUUGUUUAAAAUCUUGCUGAUGGCUCAGAAUUUUAAUAUUUGGAGACUGGAUGAAGGGAAGUGCAAAUGAGCAUCUUUCUUCUAUCUUUCCUUUUCAGGUGGUCAAAACAAAACAAGUAAACAAAAUUUGCAAAACAUAUUCAUUAUUUCUAGGAAAGAACUGCACUUCGAAAGUCCUUUAAAAUUCCAGGUGACACUUUCUGCUAUCAAAAUAGAGUUUCACUGCUUCUACGCUGUAGAGCUUUCAAGAGAAAUGUGGGAGAAGUUCAAGAAUUUCAGGUGAUAUGCUUUACCGUCAUAGAGCACUCUCAAGAUAAGGUUGUAUGAAAUGAGGUCUCAAUUGAAGCCAUGCAAAACUUGUGAGCCACUGUGGGGAAUGAAAGAAGGAGGAGGCCUACAUGAAAUGAGCAUUUAACUGAGAAUGUACAACGUGGUUCUGGGCUGCAGUAGCCCAGAACUGGCCCUGGUGAUCUUGUGGCUGCCUCGUCUGGAGUUGUCUUAAUGAUCCACUCAAGGGAGACAGAGGGCUUGUUACUUUUGUUGAGUUACUCUGAGAGUCAACUUUUGAUUUCUUUGAUUUUCUAAGCUUUAUAUUCUUGACUUCUUCACAAGGUAAGUUGUUACAUAGUCUUUCCAUAUGUCCUUGCUUCUGAUAUCAGGGUAAUUCUUGGUUCACUAUAUCAUUGGUUCACUAAAUAUCUCCCCUUCUGCUUUCAGGAAACAUCUAAAUAUGGACAGUUGUCUAUCCUGCAGUAAAUUCUCAAAGCUUUUGGUAUUCAGUUUAGGACACGAUCCAUAUAUGUAUUGCUUGAAGUCAAGUCCAAGAGUUCAUAUACAAAUCUAUCAAACUCCUUUUUUGAGUUUCUUCCUCUUCUCAAUCUCCUCAACAUACCUGAAUCCUAGAGUUCCCAUUUCUUGCUCAUCUAGCUAGAAAACUGGGCUUUAGUUACAUGCUCCUUGGUACACUGUCCAUAACUGUGCCUACCCAUAGAAGGACCAUAGAAGAAAAAAUACCAGAGUAUUUCCCCCAGUCUCUCUUUAGCAGAGCUCCUCUUUUCAUUCCGCUGGGCUAGAAAUUGAGAGCAUCCGUUUGAAGCCUUUCUGCUGUGACCCAGUGAGCAGUUCUGGGUCGUAGGCUACAGACACACAACAGGGACAUCGGAGGAAAGCAAAGUGACAAAGUCUAGUAUGAUUCCGUGGCAGUCUGAAUUUUGGGUUUUGUAAGUUGGUCCAUGCAUUAGCCCAGUCAUAGCUGCUUUCAGUGGGUGGAAAAUGGGGUGAGCUUAUUCUGUCUUGAGUUAGACCAGACUUCUCCCUUUCAUUUAUUCUGAUUGUUUUUUUCUACCAAUUCUGUGGCAUGGUGAUGAUUAAGGGGGUGGAUGUGGAGUAAAAGAAGAGUGCGUAAGGAAAAGGAAAAUGAAGAACACUCACUUCCAUCGUUGCAUCCAAAUUCAGCUUCCCCUUGAAGAGACCUACUGAAGCCUGUGGCCGAAGAAUUUGAAAGUGUUACCCCCAAGGAUUGAAACUAUUGUCAUUUUUUCCCUCGAAAUCUCUUGCUCCUUAGGGAUUGUUUCUCGUUUAAUUUAUUGCUCUGUGUUCUAAAAAGCAGAGAGAGAUUACAAACUCCAUUUUGCAACCGUAUUAAAUAUAAGUUAUGGUAAAUUAGUAAUACCUCUUGAAAAAUCCCUGCUACGAACUCCCAUGGCGCUUCCUUUGGGGGAAGAUAACUCAGUUGUGUUGAUGUAAGGGUUCUGUCUCGUUCUUUUCAACAUUCCUUUGAUGUUGUACUGCUCUGUUUGUAAUAGACUGUUAUUGCCCUAGAUUGAGUUUGCAGAGUGAAGGUAAAUCGCUCGUGAUGUGAUUGUGCCUCCACAAACUCAAUAUUGUUCACAGGGCCUUUAUAACUCUCAGCUCCCUCGCAGCACAGCAGCCUGCAUUUUCAUUUUUACCUUUUUAGAAGUUGAUUCUUUGUUCUGAAGCUGAAAGUAUGUGUGCUGACCUACACUCUCCAGUGUUUGUUCUGUGAAACCAUAACUCAUAAGCAAAGAGAACAUUGUCAGAUGGGUUUUUUUUUUUUGUCUUUUUCUGAAAUUGUUGAUUUUAUUGGUGAUCUUUUUCAUUAUAUUCCAUUAGGUAUCCUACCGAGUUAUUGAAAAGGCAUUGCUGUUGGGAAAAGCUCGACUCAAAUAUCUAUCCAAGUUCUAGUUGGAAGGGUUUUCUAAGAGUACAUAAUGACACCAUUGAAUGUGAGUCUCCCGAGGAACCCUUACCAACCCUGAAACUGUCAGAUAAAGGUGACUUCCCUUGGUGGCAGAACACACAUGUGAGACCUUGGUGAUCAGUAAUAUAAACAAGGAGAAAUCAAAAUUAUCAUUGGCCUGCUUGAUGGACUGCGGAAGCUUGCUUUAUGUAAUGCUCUAAGUUAUUACUUGCUUCCUUUGUCAAAUUUCUUGACAAAAGUCCAAGAUUUUUCAUUGGAGCAGCAUUCAACCCAGUUUUUUUUUUUUUUAAGAUUUAUUUUAUUUUUUUGAAAGAGUUACAGAGCGAUCUUCCACCCAUGGGUUCACUCCCCAAAUGGCUGGGGCAGCCAGAGCUGAGCUGAUCCAAAGCCAGGAGCUUUUUUCCAGGUCUCCCAUGCAGGUGCAGGGGCCCAAGCACUUAGGCCACCUUCUACUGCUUUCCCAGGCCAUAGCAGAAAGCUGGAUCAGAAGAGGAGCAGCUGGGACUCGAACUGGCUCCCCUAUGGGAUGUCGGCGCUGUAGGCCGGGGCUUUAACCCACUGUGCCACAGUACUGGCCCCCUCAACCCACCUUUUAACUGCUUGUAAAACAAGGUAGCAUGAAAGCUAUGGUUUAGGGAUUUAUUUUACUUCUUGGCAUGUACCCCGUUGUUACUAUUCUUUUUCCUUUUAUUUUAAAGGAUGAGACUUAUACUGUUUUGGAGUGAUUAUUCGUUGACAAGAAAUUUUGAGUUAAGAAGGGAAACCUACAAAUAUAAGGAAAAACUUUAUAUUACAGUAGACUGGAUUUAAAUAAUUAUAUGCAUUGAGUAUUUUAUAUUUCUGAGGUAGCUAGUAAUUAUCAUUCUAGAAAAAUCAACAUUGACUCUACUAUAAAAAUGUUUCAUUUUUCUCUUCCAAGGUAGUAAGAAUAAAAUCAGUGGUUUUUCAGUCCCUGGCACAGAUAUGUCAGAGCCUGUAAUAUUUGCAUUUCUGCAUAUCUUCUUCCCAUUCUCUCCUGGAAAUCCCCUUUCUCUCUAGGUGUCCUGCGAAGGAAAGCUCUACAAUGACUUGGGAAGGGACUCCAAGCAUAAUUUAUAGGGAGAAAAUUUCAGAAGGACUCUGCUUUGAAUGUUUCCCGCAAGACUGUCAUUGAAGCUAAUCCCCGUGGUGAAGUAGCAAGAGGUGGGACCAGGUGGCACCUGUAUGGUGUGAUUAGGGCCCUGCGUGGAGCAAUUGGGUUACCGAGUUGUUUUGAUCGUGGUCUGUUUGAAAAGCUAGUGUGGUUCUGUCUCUUGCACACACCCCUCUCUCCGGGGUGAUGGCUUGUGCCGGCUCAGAACUCUGCAGCAAGAAGGCCUUCACCACAUGCAGCCCCUUGAACUUGGACCUCCAGCCUCCAGAACUGUGAGCUGAGCAAGAGCUUAUUUUAUUUUUUAAAUAAAUUCUCUGGUGUGUGGUCUUCACUGAGACAUGAGGUAUUCCUAUGCCCAAGCUAAAAGGAGGAAUGUAUCGUACAGUGAGAAUGGGUUCAUCCUGAAUGUAGAAUUCCUGAGUUAGGCAGAACCUUUGAGGACCUGAGAUUGCAAAUGGAAGGCUGUUGGGCCAUAGAUGGGCUAUAGGUGUGUUUUAUUUGUUAUCUACAAGGCUUUUUUCUUCAUAUUACGGAUGCUAAUGUUUAAAAACCUGAGUUUUCCCUUGGAAUGUGGAUUUCCCCUUUUGGAACAAUUGGAAGGUGGACGCUCUGGAGACACGGGGCUGGCGUUCUCACAGGAGUCUCUGCAUGGCUGGUGCUGUCUUUUGUGGGCUCCGCCCUCCACCUGGGCUGCAGUCCUCAUUUCCAUUCCUGUAGGCACCUGAGUUUGUGGCAGCUGUUUCUAAUCUAAUUCUAGCAAGUUCUUCAACCUCUUCACAUUGUUCAGCCUGGCCCCUGGGCCUUGGCACGCCUCACACUCAAUUUCCAGCUAUACCAGCUAUACCAUUCCCUCCCCUUGACUUGUUUCAGUCACUCAUCAACUGCCCUAAGUUCUAGUGAUUGUAUUUUCCUGGGGACACUUGGAGGCAAGGACUGUCUUUGCAUCCUACAGAGAGUGACUUUCAGAACAAUGCUUGAAUCUAGUAAGUUCUCAGAUCAUGUUUGUGGAGUUAAAUUUAAUUAAAUGUUUGACCUUGAUCAUCAAGAGAAGAGUUAGGACAAAAAUCCUAGAGGUUCUUAACCUUUAGUACGUGUCUUUUUUUUUUUUUUUUUUUUGCUUAUAAUGGUUUUGUUUGUUUAUUUUAAAAGGCAGAGUGACAGAGAGAGAGAGAAAGAGAAAGAGCUUUUUCUAUCUACUGAUUUAAUUUCCAAGUGGUUCUAAUGACCAGUGCUGGGCCAGCCCAAAGCCAGGAUCCAGGAACUCUCUCCAGGUCUCCAUGUGACUGAUAGGGGUCCAAGCACUUGGGACAUAUUCUGCUACUUUCCCAGGUACAUUAGCAAGAUUGGAAGCAGAGGAGCCAGGAUUCGAACCAGCUGGUCUAGCAAGUAGUAGCUUAACCUACCGUACCACAAUGCUGACCUCAUAUCAUUUUAUUUUUUUUCAGGUUAACUGCCUGAAUUUUACAUGUUCUUCCAAAUAUUAUAUUUUAUUAAUAAUAAAUGAGAAAGUUCCUCUUCCUAUCAUUGCACAUAUGGACUUUCCUUAAUAGGAAGGCACUUCAAACAUGGAAUUGAUAAGUUUAUUUUGAUGCAAAAAUUUUUGGUAUCCAGGGCAGGCUGUGAUACAGCAGCUUAGCCACUACUUGGGGCAACUGCGACCCAUGUCGAAGUGCCUGGGUUCUGAUCCUGGCUCCUCUUCCGAUUCAGCUUCUUGGGAGACCACAGGUGAUGGCUCCAGUACUUGUCUCCCUGCCACUCAUGGGGGAGACCCAGAUUGAGCUCCAGUUUCCAGGCUUCAGCCUGGCCUAGUUCAGGCUGUCGCAGGUAUUUGAGAAAUAAAUCAGAGAAUGAAAGAUCUGACUGUCUCCCUGUCUGUCUCUCUGCCUUUCAAAUAAAAUGGAAAUAAAUAAAUAAAAAUUAGAAAGUAAUUUUUCACAUCCCUGAAUAGCUUUCGUGAUAUUUAUUCUCCACAAACAUUUCAGAGACCCCCGUAGAGUUCAAGAUGCCUCCUGCGCCGAUGCUGUCACCUUUCCACGUGGGGCGCUCCCACGCUCAGACACAGGUUUUAGGAGGCCCUGGGAUAUUUUCUGGAAUCUGAGUAUUUUAUGUUUGCUCUCUCUACUAUUGGGUCUUUAUAUUUUUAAUCCCUGCUGUAGUAGUUUGGAUUUUAUUUAUUUCAAGAACAAAAAUCACAGAGUAUGGUGAGAACUGAAUGGAAUAAAAAGAAAGCUGCUAGUGGGUGCUGGCUCAUGGUAGCUGGUGGGAAUUAUUUUAUUCAUUUUUUUUUAAAUUUUAAGACACCUUUAUUUCUCUUUACUCUUUUCUGGAGGGAGGAUAAAUACUAGUUCAUGUGAGACUAAAGACAUAAAAGAUACAGUAAGGCAGUGUUGAUUAGCUGUUACUUGUUUGAAGGUAUGAAUCCAUUGUAAGAACCUAUAUAAUCCACAGUCUGUGCAACUAUACAAAACUGUAAUUUAACUUACAGUUUGUAUCUGUUAAAUAAUUGAAAUUUGAUCUUUCUAUCCAAGUGGACAAGGAAAAACAGUAGAGGAUUAAAGAGCAAAAUAGUUGAAAUGCAUAACAGAGAGUAGAUGAUGUAAUAGCCAUCAUUCACUGCAAUAAUUUUAAGAUGAGCUCUUAAAUCAUAGCUUAAAGUCUUUGGCUGAAACCCCAGCCCUACCUUCUACCUACACAUUACCUAUUGGCAACUUAGCAUCAUUGCCUCCCUUCCCUAUGUAUGCAGCCUUGUAUGGAGGUGGCAAGACUCUCGGGAACUACCUUCCCAGAUACCUGCCAGCCGCACUCUGGGCCUCCUGGGAGAUGCGUUCCUGUCAGGACCUGAAGGUGAAAGACAGGUACAACUCAUGUGUGUCUUUCCCUGGCAGCAGCAGGGCACAUGCGGGCUUCUGUAAAUGUGAGAUCUUGCAGAAGCCUUCCAGCCACGUUUCCAAGAAUCUCUUGACUUUCCUAUAUCUAGAGCAGUCUCUGCUGUCCUCACUAAUUGGAGAAAUAGCCAGCAGGGCACCAUUUAGUAAAUUCACCUUUGAUGUGGUCAGAUAUUUGAUGUGGUCAGAUAGUUAAAAUCAGGAUUCUCCAGCUAGGAAAUGGCGUGAGUGAAUGAACUUCUUCAGAAUAGGAAGAAUAUAUCUUUCCCCAAAGGAAAAAGCAUUUUUUUCUAGGAGAAAGAUAAUGAAGCAACAGGUUUCUGUUAGAUCACUUAUAAGAAUAUAUUUCCUUUUUAUACAAGGAAGCUACUCACAAGUUAAACAAUGAUUUUAAAAAAAAAAAACCAUGUUAUUCUGACAAGAAUAUUCAUGAUAAGAAUAUUUGAAAGGUAUAAUGAAAAACCACAAAUAUUUCCUGCUCCCAACCUCAGUUUAACAGUAAAGUAUUCUGUACAUCAUAGAGAUUAAGCCAGUAUUUACCAAUUUAGAGAUAAAGACCAAAGUGCCUUGCUUUUUGGUGCAAUGUGGUAUAUGUGAACAGUAUUCCUCACGUGAGCUAAUUCAGAUGAUGUUUAUUGUUUGACUUUGUGGGGUUCCAUCAAUGUACUGAGCACUAUGGAAAAAUCUAGACUUGGCCUUGGUUUUUGCUCAGUAGGUAAAGAUGAUGACAAGUUUUCGCCCGUUGGCUUUAUGUUAGUUUGAAUUUCAGCAAAAUUGCUAUCACAAACUUAUUUAAAUUGGCCUGGCAUACAAUAAAUAAAUUUACCAGUGUUGAGUCAGAGUCACACUGUGCAAAAGGCUGGAACACUGAGGUCUGCUAUUGUUGAGUUAGAUGAUUAGUAAUUCUGUGAGUCACCCCCAAGUCUACAAGUCAGAGCUGUCUCGAUUGGAAUUCCAAGUAAUUCUUUGGAAUGAUGGUUAGUUAUAGCAAUUGCAUGCUUCUCUAUGUUACAUUUCUUUUUCUAAAAAAAAGAUUUAUUUAUUUAAAAUAUGGAGUGAGAGAGAGGGAGAGAGAGAGAGAGAGAGCUAUCUCCCAUCUGCUGCUUCACUCCCCAAUGCCCCCAACAACUGGGAUUGGGCCAGGCCAGGCCAGGCCAAAGCCAGGAGCCCAGAACUCCAUCUGGGUCUCCCACAUGCGUGGCAGGGACUCAAGGACUUGGACCAUGACCUGCUGCCUUCCAUGCACAUUAGCAGGGGGCUGACUUGGAAACAGAGGAGCUGGGAUGUGGGCAUCCAAGGUGGCGGUUUACCCUGCUGCACCACAACGCAUGCCCCACUGUUACGUGCACCUGCACCCCCUUCUGGUUUGCCACCAUAUGUGAAACCGCAUGAGGCCCUCGCCCAGGAAGCUGAGACGAUGCUGGCGCCAUGCUCUUGGACCCCCCGCAAGGUGAGCUAAAUAAACUUCUUUGUGUUAUAAAGUACCCGACUUCAGCUGUUUUGUUGUAACAACUGAAAAUGGACGAAGACAGCCUCUCAGAGAAUUUAAUAUUUGAGCAGUCCUUUGAGGAUAUGUAGAAGAUGGGGUGAAGAAGAUCACAGGUGAUGGAGUAGUUGAGGAGCUGAGAGGCCCAGAUUGGUUUUUCUUUGUGUCUUGGAAAGGCUUGGAGCAAGGAAGACCAGAGGCAGAUAACAAAGCCUUCAGCAAAUGAAGAGUGCUAGGAAGACAGCCCAGCUGAAUGACAUGAGCCUGAGAGCUACUCAGUUUUGUUUGCUGUGCUUAGUUUAGGGAUUUUAUAUUAUUCUUAAAACAAAUGCCAAGAGUAAUGAUCCAGGAGUUGUAUCACAGACAACCAUCCCAGAGUCAAGGACAUCAGGCCCAAUGAUAAGGCGUAAGGGACGUGAGAGAUGAAAACGCCAUAGGCAGAGCUGUGGUGGCCAUGAGAAAGCAUCUAGCAGACCUGUAGCUACAGGGAGAUUAUUGAAUCAAGGGCUCCAGUUGCUUAGCUCUGACACCAAGGCCCGGCUUCCUGUGGACAACCACCACCCUGUUGGAGUAUAGCAGAAUGCUAAGACAGAAAAAUUCCAGGGAGAUGUGGGCCUACUGUGAUGGCCAAUUUGGGUGCAAGGACUCCCAAUCUAGCCUUUUGAAUCCCUCCUUCAUCUGUGUGACAGCCUCAUCAGCUUCCACCCAAUCUUCCCUUUCUUUCUUCUUCACUCCAUGUCACACCUGCAUCGCAGUCUCAAGACUUUCCCAGCUUUUCUGGCUAGCUCGCUCUCCAUCUCUCACACAGUCAUUGUCCUUAAGAAAAUCCUUGCAUUGUAACUCAGCCUUGAGGUGUAUUUCUCUGAAGAAACCAAGACACAAAUAGACUCUAAGGGGAAGUUCUCUAGUUUGAGCAAGCAAGUGCAGAAAAGGCACAACUAAUGGAGCUCAAGGGAGUUUGCUGAUUAUGGCUUCACAGUUCUUGUGGGCAGAUGGGUUAGGGUUGAGGAAGGCACGUGUUCUGAAAAUGAUACCCUUGGUAUCAUCUUUUAAAACAGUUUGUGUACAUGUUUUCAAUUAUAAACAUUAUGGCUUUUUUAAGGAUUUAUUUAUUUGAAAGGCAGAGUUACAGAGAGAUAGAGGCAGAGAGCAGAGUGAAAGCAACUAAGCAAGAGAGAGGUCUUCCAUCUGCUGGUGGGAGCUAUGCCAAUCCAAAGCCAGGAGCUUCUUCUGGGUCUCCUGUGCGGGUGCAGGGGCCCAAGGGCUUGGGCCAUCUUCUGCUUUCCCACGCCAUAGCAGAGAGCUGGCUCAUAAGUGGAACAGCCAGAACUCGAACCAAUGCCCAUAUAGGUUGCCAGCACUGCAGGCAGUGGCUUCACCCGCUAUGCCUCAGCGCCAGCCUCCCAUUAUGGCUUUUUAAAACAUGUUCUUCCUCACUGAUAAUACCCGAGGUCUCUCCCCGUUCUUCAACAGGCACCACCUCUGAAUUCACUCUUCCACUUCCUUUGGGUGUAGCAUAGACAAAUUGCAUAGCCUUCCCUUCUUAGGAUUUUGCUCUCAAAUCUUGGAUCUCGAAUCUUUGAAUAGUUUGGACUUAGAACCAGAACUACAAUGAGGCAAACAGGGCUCCUUGGAAUGCAGUCUUCAGAAGCCACAUGUCACCACUGCAUUUGUUGGACCCUGAGAGUGAGUGCCUCCUUAAACAUUGUGCCCCAUGCCCCUCACUGGCCUUAUAGUAGUCCUGUCCCUGUGGAAGCCACUCAAGAACUUAGUGGAGAAUACAGAAUUAUUUGGAAGAACUCCCAGUCCAGAGAAGUAGGCCAGUCCAAAGCCUUUCCUCCUCUGCUCAGGUGCUAGGAGAUUGACCGCAGGCCUCGGUUCACAGGUGAGGCAAGGCAAUACAUGCUCGCUCUUCUUGCCUUCUCUUCAAUCAACAAGAAUUUCAUACAAAUGAACUCCCAUGAAUGUAGUAAAAAAAAAAAAAAAAAAAAAAAAAAAAAAAAAACAGGCUCAAAGAUAUUUUUGUCAAGCAGAUGUGGAAAUUGGAGAUAAUUCUUUAUAUUGGAACUUUUUUUUUUUGAUGUUAAUAAUUAGAAAGCUACUUUCUGAUCUCAUAAUACCUGCUGCCUUAGGUUGUUAAUCUCUGCAGUGUUUUUUUUUUUUUUUUUUUUUUGACAGGCGGAGUGGACAGUGAGAGAGACAGAGAGAAAGGUCUUCCUUUUGCCAUUGGUUCACCUUCCAAUGGCCACCGCGGCCAACGCACUGCGGCCAGCGCACCGCACUGAUCCAAAGCCAGGAGCCAGGUGCUUCUCCUGGUCUCCCACGGGGUGCAGGGCCCAAGCACUUGGGCCAUCCUCCACUGCACUCCCGGACCACAGCAGAGAGCUGGCCUGGAAGAGGGGCAACCGGGACAGAAUCUGGUGCCCCGGCCGGGACUAGAACCCGGUGUGCCGGCACCGCAAGGCGGAGGAUUAGCCUACUGAGCCGCGGCGCCGGCCUCUGCAGUGGUUUUAAUUCUCCAAUUCAAGAGGUGAGAGGUGAGAGUUUGGUUGUUCAGAGAUAUUAAGGGUUGCUUUGUGGAGUAAUAUGUAUAUUUUUGCAAGAUAGGGUUACAGAGAGAGAGAGAGAGAGAGAGAGAUCUUCUUUCUACUGGUUCAUUUCCCAAAUGGCUGCAACAGCUCAGCCCAGCCAGGCUGAAGCCAGGAGUUUCAUCUGGGUCUCCCAAGUGAGGGGCCUAAGUACUUGGGCCAUGUUCCAUGCCUUCCAGGCAUGUUAGCAGUGAGUUGGGUUGGAAGUGGGACAGGUAGGACAUGAACCGGUGCUCAUAUGGGAUGUCAGUGUCAUAGGUAGCAGCUUAACUGGCUCUUCCACAACUCUAGUCCCUCUGUUGAGUAAGCUUAAUCUAAACUGGGUGUAUCCAUAAUAAGACUAAAUAUACUCACUCAUAUUAUAAGUAUUCUAAAAUUUUAAUCCCUAGACAUUCUGAAGCUGUGUUGUUAGAUGACUUUAAAAAGUGCUAGGUUCCACCUCGAAGCUGAUGCUGAUCUCCUUUCUGAAAAGUAUCUGAGGAGUUAAACUCAGAAAAUCCUCACUCAGUAUUGUAACUUAAUCUUCUACAAAAAGCAUCAUGUUCUGGAUGGAAGUCUGUUGGGAAAUACUUAUUUAAAACUUGGGAAGAAUUUGUGAUUCAAGUUUAGAGACCACAAUACCUGCCCUCCUCUUGUUUACAAGGAGUUUGCUGUGAGAAUUUAUGUGGUAACAUAUGUAAUAUAUUUAGAAUUCUUGGGAGAAUUGUAAUGUAUCAAAUAAUGGGAUAACUGUAACUGUAUAUAGCACAGGUAAAUAUUCACAAAUCUUAAUAUAUUAAUUCAGCAUAUCAGCUUUUAUAUAAGUAUAUGUUUUAUACUCAAGAAAGAUGACAAUUCUAUAAUUUUGUAAGGUUAAUUUUAAGUUGCAUUUUUAUUCCCAUUUUUUUCAAAUUGUAUUCAUUUCAAAUAUUUCUCAUAGUUAGUCAUGUUGCCUUCUGUGUUCCUGGAAUGAUUUUUGAAAAGUGCAAAGCAUCAACCAGAAGUCCUUUAUCCGUACACUGAAAAAUGUACCUCUUGUUUGAGAUUCCCAACAUUUUGGAAAAGAUCAUUUCAUACAACUGCAUCCUUAGACUGAAUUUUAGACUCUCCGAUCAGAAAACAAACUAAAAGCAAAAGUAAGUAGCAAUUACCUAGUAGCAAUUCUUUGCUGCAGUUUCAGUCUUGUGACGGUUGGUGUGGAUUAUUAUAUGCAGCUGGAAAACUUUAACUUUGGGUGGACACGUUUUGGUCAUGUGUACAUACUCAGAGCCAUAGAACUUGCUCCAAGAAUAAAGCACAUCUCAUGAAUCAAUGGAUCAAGCCCGGGCUAUACUAUCUGAGUUGUAUUGUGUUUUUGUGUUUUUUCCCUUUCUCCUAUUCUACCCCUUUCUCCCUCCCUCUCUCUCUCUCUUUUUUAAAGGGUUAAACUGGGUGGUUUUCAGAGUUUUACAAGAGAACUAUUAGUGAAAAUCAAUCUGGUACAUUCAACUUACCAAGGCCCUACUCUUUCCCUCUAAUCUUUCAGCAGGACCCAAGGGAGGCUAAAGUUUAGAUCAGCCUAUUCUCCACAGGAACUUUGAUUCACGAUUAAAUUCCGUCUAAUGAAGAUGACUUUGCCAUCCCACGGCCAUCAGCAGGCUACGUGUGGGACAAUGGGAAACCCACCUUGUAUAGAGGACAUUGUUCUUUCUUAGCUACCCCAGUUGGAUAGAAUCUCGUGGAAAUUCACAUGCACAAGAGACCUGUGAAAUAAGUAACAGUAUUAAUCUCUAGGGUGCCCUGGUGAGUCAGGGUAAGGAAAUAAGUAUUUUGCUUAAGUACACACUUACUCAUGUCUUACAGCAUGUCAUGUUUAUGAUAAGAGCAAACGGCUAAGGCAGGGAGGGAGUGGAGGGAGGCAGAGAGGGAGGGGGAGAGAGAGAGGAGAGAUUGUCUUGAUGGUAAAAGGAAACUUAUCACAGGAAAUGUAAUAUAACUAGUGGAGUAAAUAGACUGGGUAUACUUCUUGCCUUGCAGGUAAGAAAUUUAAAAGGAGGAUCUGUAAUUCUGAGGCUUCUGGAGGUUGCUCUUUUUAAAAAAAAAAAAAAAGAUUUAUUUUAUUUAUUUGAAAGUCAGAGUUAAAGAGAGGGAGAGACAGAGAGAGAGAGAGGUCUUCCACCCGCUGGUUCACUACCCAGAAGGCCACAAUGUCCAGGGAUAGGUAAUGCUGAAGCCAGCAGCUUCCUUUAAGUCUCCACAGGCCCAAGCACUCAGACCGUCUUCAGUUGCCUUCCCAGGCCAUUAGCAGGGAGCUGGAUCAGAAGUAGAGCAGCCAGAACACAAACCAGUGCCCUUAUGGGCUUUACCCACCACGCCACAAGGCCAGCCCUGGAGGUUGAUUUAAUGUGCAAAGAAUUUCUAAUAUGUCAAUCAUGCAUAAUUAAAAGUUACAAAUUAUGAAAUAAACUUUGAUUCUGAAAUUAAGCUAUUAUACUGAUAUUUAAUACUUAUAUUUACUUUUCAUAAGUUAUAAAAUUAGCAAGAGCAUCCUUAAAAAUAAUCUUUCUGUGGCUGAUGAUGAACCAGGAUAGUACUGAGGCAAAGGCUUGUGGUUUUUUAUUUUUUAAAAAUUUAUUUAUUUAUUGGAGAGACAGAGAUACUAAGAGGCAGAGGCAGAGAGAGAGAGGUUGCUGCUUCACUCCCCAAAAGGCUGCAACAGGCAAACUAAGCCUUUCCAGAGCCAGGAGCUUCUUCCAGGUCUCCCAUGCGGGUGCAGGGGUCCAAGGACUUGGGCCAUCUUCCAGUGCUUUCCCAGGCCACAGCAGAGAGCUGGAUUGGAAGUGGAACAGCCGGGUUUCGAAGCAGCGCCCAUAUGGGAUGCUGGCACUGCAGGUGGUGGCUUUACCCGCUAUGCCACAGUGCCAGCCCCAAGGCUUGUGUUUUUAUGAGGCAGUACAACACAGUAACUAUAUGCAUGGGCAGUUUCAUUUCAAUAUCAUUUCUGUGUGACUUGAAUAAAUUAUUUAAGCUCCCUGAGCCUUGGUUUUUAUUCAUUUGUAAAAUGGAAUUCCUCAUCUAUAAAACUGCCCAAGUUGUAGUGAUUAUGUAAAGAUUUACUGAGAUAAUAAAUAUAAAUCAUUUAGAAGAGUAAUGGAAACAUUAAGUUGUAAGUAUGUUACUAUUAUUAAUAUCUUAUUCAGCAGACAGCAUGCAUACUGUUGGUUAGCAAACAUUUGGCUAAUGUAGAAAAACAACAUAUGAGAGGUAAAAUAAUGGUUUUAGAAUCUAAUAUAAUUUGAAUCUCUUAUUUAACAUGCAGGAAAGUAUUAAUUCUUAUCACUUACCCCAUACUCAGUUGGUUACAAAAACAAGUGAUUUCACUCUGUGAAAAAAAAAAGUUCUUAAUACCCUCCCUAAGGGUAACUAUAAAUUAGGGAAAAGAACGAUUUAAAAGGCCAGCUACCAGAUUCAUGGUGGAGAACAUAAAAGCAGACAAAAUCUGCAUGGGACUCGAUUCUUGGAAGAAGGAAACAGCCUUUAUGAGUUCUGGCAUUUGUGGUUUUCGCCUGAGGGGCAGCCCACUCAGACACAAGGAACAACUCAAACUUGGGUAGAAAUGUUGAGGCUUCUUGGCUAGAGGACUCCGAGGACAGAGUUGGACGCUGCCACAGCAGCUGGAUAGCGGGGGAUGUAUUGUGUGCUUAGCAUCCACCAAAAAUCCCAGUCUCCCUAGAACCUGAGUGGGACCUCAUUUGGAAAUAAGAUCUUUGCCAAUGUGAUAAAGUUAGACGAGGACGGGCCCUGAUGCAAUGACUGGUCCUCAGAAGAGUGGAGAGACACACAGAGGACACAAGUGGCCAUGUGAACACAGAAGCACAGAUCAAAGUAGCAGCGACAAGCCCGGAACGCCAAGCACAGAGAGGCCCAGAGAGCAUUCUCCCUCAGAGCCUCCCUUGCUAAUUCCCUGAUGUUGGCCUUCUGGCCUCUGGUAUCAUGAGGGAGUAAAUUUCUUGAUGUGACCCACCUAGGUUUUGAUGCUGUGCUGUAAAUACCCUAAAAAACCAAUAUAGGGCUAAAAUACAGGAAAGGAGAAAAUCAACAGAGGGGUAACCAAACUCUAAACACGAAACCUGCUGUUCUCUCUGGUUGGCCCACAGUUGCAGAGGCAGGUAAGUAGCUAAAUCUCUCUUUCUCUCUCUCUCUGUCUGUCUGUCUCGGGAUUUAUUUAUUUGAAAGGCAGAGUUACAGAGAGGCAGAGGCAGACAGAAAGAGAUGUCUUGCAUCUGCUGGUUCACUCUCCAAAUGGCUGCAACAGCUGGAGCUAGGCCGAUCCGAAGCCAGGAGCCAGGAGCUUCUUCCGGGUCUCCCACACAGGUGCAGGGGUCCAAGGAUGUGGGCCAUCUUCUACUGCUUUCCCAGGCCAUAGCAGAGAGUCGGAUCGGAAGUGGAGCAGCCAGAAUUCGAACCAGCACCCAUGUGGGAUGUCAGCACUGCAGACCAUGGCUUUUACCACUAUGCCACAGUGUCAGCCCCAGUAGCUAAAUCUAAAACAAUUGACUAGGAUUUCAGCUGUAUCACUCUACAAGGAUUAAAGAGUUUCGUUUGAGUUAAGCCAAAUGAGCUGCAUGCUAAAAAACAAAACAAAACAAAACAAAACAAAAAACAAAAGAAUUCACAAUUUCUUUAGGAGGAAUAGAAAAGAAUCCAGAGUCUUUACAAUGUAUUACUCAAGUGAUACAGUACAUGCUUACAGUAUGUACCUCCAAAGACACAAUUCCGAAUUACCUGGACACAUGACACAACAGGAAAAUGUGACCCUUAUUCAACAGGAUGGGUAACGAAGCUUCACCCUUAGGUGACCCAGAUGUUGAAAUUACCAGGUUAGGAUUUUAAAGCAGUUCCUGUCACUGUUCAAGAACAUAAAGGAAAAGAGACUGUAAGUGAGCUAAUAGGAAAUCUGAGUCAAGAAAUACAAACUAGGAAAAAGAACCUGUUGGAAGCUAUGAAAUAUGAAAUGUCUAAAAUUAAAAAAAAUUGCUAAGAGUUUAACUGAGCUUUGAAGAUGAUAGAUCAUUGAAACCAAAAGUAGGUCAUUUAGAGGUGCAGUUUACAAUCACAUAUAAGAAUAGAAGCACCUGCAUAUACCAAAUAAUAUAGGAACUGUGUCAAAACAAAAUACAAGAAAGUUUUGUGCAAUUGAGGAAGACAUUAUUUGUAUUCCCAUAAAAAUGUAGAUAGAUGGAGAUUAUUCAGUCUAAAGAACAGAAAGAAAAAUUUUUUUAAAGAUUUAUUUAUUUGAGAGGCAGUUAUAGAGAGAGGGGGGGGGGGAGACAAUCUUCCAUUCACUGGUUCACUACCCAAAUGGCCACAAUGGCUGGAGAUGGGCCAAUCUGAAGCCAGGAGCUAGGAGCUUCUUCUGGGUCUUUCACAUGGGUGCAGGGCCCCCAUGUACUUGGGCCAUCCUCCACUGCUUUCCCAGGCCAUUAGCAGGCAGUUGGAUCGGAAGUGCAGCAGCCAGGACUGGAACCAGAGCCUAUGUGGGAUUCCAGCACUGCAGGCAGAGGCUUAACCUAUUACGCCAUGGUGCCAGUGCCAAAAAAUUUUUUUUCAAAUGAACAGAAUCUUAAUAUCUAUGGGACAAUAAGGAAAAAGUUUAACAUGCUUAACUGAAAUGGAGAUAGGUUUAAGAAAAAUAUGAAAAUAUGAUAUUAAGCAAAUCCCCUAAAAUUUAGAAUAUAACACACUUCUAAAAAGACAUAGGUGAAAUAACUCAUUAGUGAAUGUAGAUACUAUGUAUUUUUUAAUGUUUAAUUUUUUUUUCUUGAGAGGGAAAGGGGGAAGUGGAGGAGGAGGAGGAGAGAAGGAGGAGAGAGAGGGAGAGAGCGAGAAAAUGAACCAACACUCCCAUCUACUACUUUUGCUCCCCAAAUGCCCAGAAUGUCUGGAGUUGGACCUAAGUUGAAGCCAGGAUCUCACUCCAGGUCUCCCCCAUGGGUGAUAGGGACCUAUUUACUUGAACUAACACUGCUGCCUCACAGGUUUGUUAGCAGGAAGCUGGAGUCAGAAGCCAGAGCUGGGCAUCAAACCUGGGUAUGCCAGUAUGAAACUGGGCCUCCUAACGGCAUCUUAACUGCUGGGCUAAAUGCCAGCCCCAGAGAUUAUAUUAUAAACUGACCAGUAAUGAAAACCCACAAUUACAGAAGUCUGUAAUGCAGUGAGAGCAGUGCUAGAAGGGAUUGUUUUUAUGGUUUUGAAGUGCUUGUAUUAGAAAAGAAAAAAGUGUAUCAGUGGAAAGCAGGAAAACUACUGACCAACUUGACAAAUUUAAAGACUGGUUGUGUUGGAAGAUCAAAAAAGAAACCAAUAAACUCUCAGUGACUGGGGACCAGACAUAUACCCAUAUCAGACAUUAA